UUUUGUUUUGUUUUCUUUUUCAUGUUUAUUUAGUAACUAGAAAACUGGACAGAAGCCGGUAAAACAUCAAGUAAGACAAUUUUUUAUAGUUUUUAUAGAGUGAAAAGCAAUCUAGAAUUUUGGUAGUACUUUGGUUUAAAUAUAUCCUUCAAAGGUUCGUGUGUGGAGGUGCCUAUGCUUUGAGCAGCCAGGAGACUGAUGCAGGAGGAUUGCUCCAAGACUGAGGCUAGCCUGGACUAAAUAGAGAGUACUAGGUUGGCUGAGAUUAUGUAUAAUAAGAAAGUCUUAAAACAACAGAAGGCUUGCAUCUUAGCUCAGUGGCAGAGAGCUUGCCUUGUACAUGUGCAUUCUGAAUUCAUUUCUCAGCAUCCCCAGAUUAAAAAGAAGUUAAUGUGCUAUAAGCUGGUGAAGUUUGGUCUGGUUCUACUUCCUAUCCCCAUGCUACCAAAAACAAGACUCAGAUUCAAAAUGUACUUACAAAUACUUUGGCCAUAUAGCUAGGCUCUUCUCUGGCUAGAAUCAUAACAAGAGAA
ensembl:antisense Gm12205 predicted gene 12205